UCUCGUACCUUGAAUUGUUUAGAUAUUCAGCUUAGGAUCUGUAUCCUUGUUUUGCCAUUCAUUACUGUGUAACAGAUAUCUUCUUUGGAGAAGAUGGCCCAGUACUUUCCACUGAGCAGGCAAGUAUAACUGCAGCCGCAUAGGUGAGACUGAGCAUUCCUAUGCACUCCUACUUGUCUCUGGCUGAACUCACAGGGAGCUGUCUAGAGCCAUGGAAAUGGAUUGACGAAUGCAACAGUCCUUAGGUUCUAGCUGAGCCCUCAAAUUAUGAAGUAAGGACACGAUGCAAACUUCUUAGUCUCUGCAGCAUGUGUACGCCAAGAAAACAAUCAAGACCCAUGGGAAUACCUAAAGGAACUAGAACAGUUUGGCUCAGUUUCAGUAUUGAGUGCAUGAAUGCUUUACCCCAAGAAUAAAAAGUGUAAGACAAUAAAUCUCUAGGGCAGCUGUGACAGUUCUUUGCAAGAACAUGAAGGUCUGAACAUUGUAGUUGCAACCAAAAAGCUUGAAAAAACAACAAACUAUUAGAUGUCCCCAUUAAUGGAGCAGGAUCUCAUGACAGCUACAGAUCUGUUGUGAUUAAGAUGAAGUAAGGCAGAGUGUUUUUGAUUCACCAGAUGAACCAUUUACCCAGAAGCACUAGGAAAAUGUAAUGUCUGAGACAGAAGAGUCCUCCUGCAAAUGCAGGAUGAAGACAUAAGGACUCUCUGCUGUGGCAGAUAUAAAAUCUGUGAGUGCAACCAGUACAUGCAGU